rnacentral:lncRNA from 1 species
ACAGGCUGUAGCGUGACGAAGGGUCCCAGACUGCAGAAAUGCUGAGACAAGUCCAAGUUGUAGACUGCCACAGGACCCCAGCUCAACAUGUGAGUGCACCCAGGCCUGCUGCUUCUCCUGGUUUCAGGUGAUGUCUGUCUGUUGUACCCAGGGUGAACCUCGACCUUCAUUAGCCCUUCAUCUCUGCUGACCCAGCCUCCCAACAGGCUGCUUAAUGGAUGCCCAGAGAUGGAAGGUGCUGAGGGCUGAAGACACCAGCUGGACACCUGAUGCCAUUUCCCUGCCCUUUUCUUCAAAGCUUUUAGGCAGAUGACCAAGGCAGGAGAGAGGCUGCUCAAAUCAAACCUGCACCCUCUUGAGCUGCUCCUAUAACAGACCUGAUGAUGGGAAAGCAGAACUGCAUGGCAAGGCAGGAAGAGGCUUCAGAAAGUGAGGCUGGCGGCUCCGGGCCAGGUGAGUCUGUC